CCCGCUGAACUUAAGCAUAUCAAUAAGCGGAGGAAAAGAAACUAACAAGGAUUCCCUUAGUAACUGCGAGUGAAGUGGGAAAAGCUCAAAUUUAGAAUCUGGCAGUCACUUGGCUGUCCGAGUUGUAAUCUAGAGAAGUGUUGCCCGUGCUGGACCAUGUACAAGUCUCCUGGAAUGGAGCAUCACAGAGGGUGAGAAUCCUGUCUUUGACAUGGACUGCCAGUGCUUUUGUGGUACGCUCUCAAAGAGUCGAGUUGUUUGGGAAUGCAGCUCAAAAUGGGUGGUAAAUGCCAUCUAAAGCUAAAUAUUGGCGAGAGACCGAUAGUGAACAAGUACCGUGAGGGAAAGAUGAAAAGAACUUUGGAAAGAGAGUUAAACAGUACGUGAAAUUGCUGAAAGGGAAACGCUUGAAGUCAGUCACGUUGACUUGGAAUCAGCUCUGCUUUUGCUGGGUGUACUUUCUUGUCAAUGGGUCAGCAUCAAUUUUGACCAUUGGAUAAAGUUGCUGGGAAUGUAGCAUCCUUUUGGAUGUGUUAUAGCCUGGUGAUGCAUACAGUGGUUGGGAUUGAGGAACUCAGCACGCCGCAAGGCCGGGUAACCUGUUACCACGUAACGUGCUUAGGAUGUUGGCAUAAUGGCUUUAAUCGACCCGUCUUGAAACACGG
rnacentral:rRNA from 1 species